AGGACGAACGCUGGCGGCGUGCUUAACACAUGCAAGUCGAGCGAGGCUCUUCCUUCGGGGAGAUGCCCUAGCGGCGAACGGGUGAGUAACACGUGGGCAACCUGCCCCUAACACUGGGAUAACUCCGGGAAACCGGGGCUAAUACCGGAUAUGACCUUUGAGGGCAUCCUCUUUGGUGUAAAGGAUUCUGGCUAGGGAUGGGCCCGCGGCCUAUCAGCUUGUUGGUGGGGUAACGGCCUACCAAGGCGACGACGGGUA
rnacentral:rRNA from 1 species